AAUCGGGUGGUGUAGUGGUCAAGCACACCUGAACGCUGUACUAUGUAUGGUAUGUGUACUAGGGAGACGCAGGUUCAAAUCCUGUCUCGAUUG